rnacentral:tRNA from 1 species
ACUUACUUAGUUUAUAAAGAAUAGAAGUUUGUGGUGCUUCCGGAGGUUGUAGCCAGUAAGUA